rnacentral:rRNA from 1 species
AUUGAACGCUGGCGGCAGGCCUAACACAUGCAAGUCGAACGGUAACAGGAAGCAGCUUGCUGCUUCGCUGACGAGUGGCGGACGGGUGAGUAAUGUCUGGGAAACUGCCUGAUGGAGGGGGAUAACUACUGGAAACGGUAGCUAAUACCGCAUAACGUCGCAAGACCAAAGAGGGGGACCUUAGGGCCUCUUGCCAUCGGAUGUGCCCAGAUGGGAUUAGCUAGUAGGUGGGGUAACGGCUCACCUAGGCGACGAUCCCUAGCUGGUCUGAGAGGAUGACCAGCCACACUGGAACUGAGACACGGUCCAGACUCCUACGGGAGGCAGCAGUGGGGAAUAUUGCACAAUGGGCGCAAGCCUGAUGCAGCCAUGCCGCGUGUAUGAAGAAGGCCCUCGGGUUGUAAAGUACUUUCAGCGGGGAGGAAGGGAGUAAAGUUAAUACCUUUGCUCAUUGACGUUACCCGCAGAAGAAGCGCCGGCUAACUCCGUG